rnacentral:rRNA from 1 species
CUGGGUGUAAAGGGAGUGUAGGCGGGGCUUCAAGUCCGUUGUGAAACCGAUCGGCUCAACUGAUCGUUGCGGCGGAAACUGGAGUUCUUGAGUGAGGUAGAGGCAGGCGGAAUUCCCAGUGUAGCGGUGAAAUGCGUAGAUAUUGGGAGGAACACCAGUGGCGAAGGCGGCCUGCUGGGCCUUAACUGACGCUGAGGCUCGAAAGUGUGGGGAGCAAACAGGAUUAGAUACCCUGGUAGUCCACACUGUAAACGAUGAUUACUAGGUGUGGGGGGACUGACCCCUUCCGUGCCGGAGUGAACACAAUAAGUAAUCCACCUGGGGAGUACGACCGCAAGGUUGAAACUCAAAGGAAUUGACGGGGGCCCGCACAAGCAGUGGAGUAUGUGGUUUAAUUCGAAGCAACGCGAAGAACCUUACCAGGUCUUGACAUCGUGUGCAUAGCGUGGAGACACGUGAAGCCCUUCGGGGCACACAGACAGGUGGUGCAUGGUUGUCGUCAGCUCGUGUCGUGAGAUGUUGGGUUAAGUCCCGCAACGAGCGCAACCCUUACGAUUAGUUACUACGAAAGAGGACUCUAAUAGGACUGCCGUUGACAAAACGGAGGAAGGUGGGGAUGACGUCAAAUCAU